GGUUAAGCGACUAAGCGUACACGGUGGAUGCCCUGGCAGUCAGAGGCGAUGAAGGACGUGCUAAUCUGCGAUAAGCGUCGGUAAGGUGAUAUGAACCGUUAUAACCGGCGAUUUCCGAAUG
rnacentral:rRNA from 2 species